rnacentral:rRNA from 1 species
UACGUAGGGGGCUAGCGUUGUCCGGAAUCACUGGGCGUAAAGCGCACGUAGGCGGCUUUCUAAGUCAGGGGUGAAAUCCUGGAGCUCAACUCCAGAACUGCCUUUGAUACUGGGAAGCUUGAGUCCGGAAGAGGUGAGUGGAACUCCGAGUGUAGAGGUGAAAUUCGUAGAUAUUCGGAAGAACACCAGUGGCGAAGGCGGCUCACUGGUCCGGUACUGACGCUGAGGUGCGAAAGCGUGGGGAGCAAACAGG